rnacentral:rRNA from 1 species
GAUGAACGCUGGCGGCGUGCCUAAUACAUGCAAGUCGAGCGAACAGAUAAGGAGCUUGCUCCUUUGACGUUAGCGGCGGACGGGUGAGUAACACGUGGGUAACCUACCUAUAAGACUGGGAUAACUUCGGGAAACCGGAGCUAAUACCGGAUAAUAUUUCGAACCGCAUGGUUCGAUAGUGAAAGAUGGUUUUGCUAUCACUUAUAGAUGGACCCGCGCCGUAUUAGCUAGUUGGUAAGGUAACGGCUUACCAAGGCGACGAUACGUAGCCGACCUGAGAGGGUGAUCGGCCACACUGGAACUGAGACACGGUCCAGACUCCUACGGGAGGCAGCAGUAGGGAAUCUUCCGCAAUGGGCGAAAGCCUGACGGAGCAACGCCGCGGGAGUGAUGAAGGUCUUCGGAUCGUAAAACUCUGUUAUUAGGGAAGAACAUACGUGUAAGUAACUGUGCACGUCUUGACGGUACCUAAUCAGAAAGCCACGGCUAACUACGUG